rnacentral:rRNA from 1 species
UGAGGAAUAUUGGUCAAUGGGCGGAAGCCUGAACCAGCCAAGUCGCGUGAGGGAAGAAGGCCCUGCGGGUCGCAGACCUCUUUGGACGGGGAGCAAGGCCGCGGACGUGUCCGCGGAAGGAGAGUACCCGUAGAACAAGCAUCGGCUAACUCCGUGCCAGCAGCCGCGGUAAUACGGAGGAUGCGAGCGUUAUCCGGAUUUAUUGGGUUUAAAGGGUGCGCAGGCGGCACGGCAAGCCGGCGGUCAAAUCGCGGGGCUCAACCCCGCCCAGCCGUCGGAACUGCCGGGCUAGAGUGGGCGAGAAGUGCGCGGAAUGCGUGGUGUAGCGGUGAAAUGCAUAGAUAUCACGCAGAACUCCGAUUGCGAAGGCAGCGCACCGGCGCCCGACUGACGCUCAGGCACGAAAGCGUGGGUAUCGAACAGG